UAUAGCUACUGAGUGAUUGCACAAAUCCUUAUAAUUGCAUUCAAAAGAGAUCUGUCAUGAGCAUAACAAAGCAUCUCAUGAAAGAUUCAAGCCCAGACACUGGGAGUGUUGACAUUUCAUGAAAGAUUUGGCUGCAACUAUCGUGGGGCUUCCCAGGUGGCAAAGGGGUAAAGAAUUCACCCGCCAGUGCAGGAGAUGCAGGAGACGCAGGUUCGAUCCCUGGGCCACAAAGAUCUGGAGGCAGAAAUGGCUACCCUCUCCAGCAUUCUUGCCUGGAAAAUCCCAUGAGCAGAGGAGCCUGGCGGGCAGCAGUCCAUGGGGUAACAAAAAGUUGGACGUGACUAAGCAUGCACACACGCACACUGUGAUCAAGGGCUAUGUGAGAACUUAACAAUAACUCGAUGUAAUUAUUUAGCACAAAACUCAGAGGUAGGAAUUGGCAUCUCCACUUCAGAGAUAAGGGAAUGAGUAUCAGAGAGAUUAAAUCGCUUACCCAGGGUCACACAGCUUUGUUCAAAGCCCAUAAAAGGGACAUGUGCUAACAGAGGACGAAUGCAAGAAUUUUGAUCUCUUUGUAACUCUAAGCUGUAACUUAAACAAGUAAGACCUGAGAGGUUCCACUCUUUCAGUUAGAGGCAAAGGCGUGAAAUGCUGAAGCCAAAAUUCCAAACCCAAGUAAUUCUGACUUCUGCAUCACUAAGCUCUACUUUCAGGCCCAGCCAGUCCUUUCCAGGCCUUGCUUUUAUUCAUCUGUUCACCCAGAAGAGACAGGCCUCAUUGUGUAGCUAUGAGGAAAAAUUCAUUAAUAGAAAAUUGGUAAACCUAUCGGCAAUAGCAAACAUCAAGAUGCUUAUAAUUAACUUGAGAAAAAGAGAUGGCCUGGGAUGUUUACUUGCAUCAAACACUGGGCUUCUCUCUGAGUCCAGCCUGCUAAAGCUGCUUCCAUCCAGAGAGGCCUCUUGGUGAAGUCGAAUGUCAUUAAAUGUAGAGAAGGUUCAGGGCAGAGCUGUUCAGCAGGAAAACAAUCGAGGCAAGGUCACAUGGUGAGCAAGGGCUCUAGAAGUAAGUGCUAAUGUCUGUGCAAUGUGCAGUUCAUCUGUUCUUGUGCCAUCAACAGAACGAUGGUCCCCCAAAGAUAUCCACGCCCUCACGCCCAUAGUGAGUGCAUUGCCACACGUGGCAAAAGGGACUUUGCAGCUGAUUUUAAAUUAAGGAUGUUAAGACAGGAAGAUUAUCCUGGAUUGUUCAGGUGGACCCAUUGUAAUCAUAAGGAUCUUCAUCAGAGAAGAGCAGAAGAGUCAGAGAAGGAUGCAAUGGCAGAAGAAGAGGUCAGAGACAGAAAUUUGGAGAUGCUCCCCAGGGGGCUCUCAAGGUGGAGGAAGAGGCCAUGAGCCAAGAAAUGGAGGACGUCUCUAGAAAUGAACCAGUGAGGAAAUGGAUUGUCCCCUAGAGUUUCUAAAAGGAACACCUUGGGGAUUUUCCUGGUGGUCCAGUGGUUAAGAAUCCACCUUGCAAUGCAAGGGACUUGGGCUCGAUCUGUGGUCAGGGAACUGGGGUCCCACGUGCGAUGAGCAACUGGGCCUGUGCGCACCGCGAUGAGACAAUCUGUAUACCACAGUGAAAGGACCCACAGGACACAAUGAAGUUUCCAAGUGCCACAGCUAAGACCCGAAUCAGCCAAAUAAAUACAUAUUUUUGUUUUUCUUAAAGAAAGAAGCCUCUUGAUUUAGUCUGGUCAGAGUUGUUUUGAACUUCUGGCUUCCAGAACUGCAAAAUAGCACAUUUGUAUUGUUUUAAGUCACUGAACAUGUAACAGUUUGUUACAGCAGCCCCCUGAUAAACCUUCUGUAUGCUGUAUGGCAGGGGAACCUUUUCUUCCACAACUUCUACGGGGAGGCAGCACACCUAGACAUGGGGGUACCACACAGGACGGCCACCACACACUACCCCACUCCCCGCCAGCAGAGCAGGAAGAGUGACGCAUGGAGGCCUGUCUCUCCACUGGAGUCGGUGACAGGGCAGGAUAAACCCAGGACUUUAUUCACACCUUUAAACAUCCACGAGAUACACUGAUUGUUUACUGCAUCUGAGUAUUGCUAGACCUCCUUACUUCUGAGUGACAUAAAAAGUGCUGACUUUCUGCUGAACGCCUGUGACUCAGCACACCUGUGGAAAGCACGCACCCCAUCAGGGCUGCAUCUGUCUUACUCAAUGUGUCGUGUGAGCCCAGCAUCACGCCUGGAUGACUGUGAGAAGUGCCAUCACCAUUCCUGACACCAUUAGGUCACUUCCUGGUUGGGACGGUGGUGAUGUGCUGGGAAACGGUGCGUGGACCCCUCUCGUGGUGUUGCCUAUGACUGGUUUGUUCCUCAGCGCCAUGAAACCAGGGCAGAUUCCUGAGGGCCAGCUGCCUCAUGGUGUAACAAACGCUUUUAAUGCCAGUUUCACUUCAUGACAUCAUUUCUCACCACUCUCCGUGCCCGCCAGACAAGCCUGUUUGCGGCCUGUGUGGGUGGCUCUCACUGAUGGCUCCUUUGUCCUUCGGCACAAGAGGUAUUUAUUUCCACAUUGCAUGUUUUUUACUUUCUCUCUACAAAUUCACAGCCGUCUUGUCUACCUCAGUAGGAAGCCAGGUGCACUUCUAUUAAUAGACCCCCUUCCCAGGUUCCAUGGCUCUAACCUGAUCCUCCCUCGAACUCAUGUCUCCUGUUCUUACUGUGAUUGGAUUCAUGAGGGAAGAGUCAGGUGGUCUCUUUUUGACCAGUGGUCAAUUUUAUGGAUCGUGUGUAAUCCCCAGGGAAAUUGUAAGCCUCGAGAGGGGAGGAAUCGUGUCUUCAGUCUCCUUCCUGUUAUAUUUUUGCCAAGACAUCAAUUAGCACAGCAUUUGGGCUUCAGUGAGUAUUUGACAAAUAGUUCUAACUUGUUUUGUUCUCUCUUUUUAAGAUUUUUUAAGGUGGACUAUUUUUAAAGUCUUUAUUGAAUGUGUUACAAUACUGCUCCUUUUUCUUUUUAAUGUUUUGGUUUUUAGGCCACAAGUCAUGUGGGAUCCUUGCUCCCUGACCAGAGAUCAAACCUAGAUCCCCUGCAUUGGAAGGCUCAGUCUUAGCCUUCCAGGGAAGGCUCCUGGUCUGUUCUUUUCUGCAGGUGGAGAAGCGGACCUUGGUUUUGCUGGGGUUUCACCCUUGAGCCCCCGGCCCUUCACUUACAAAAUGAGGCAGUGGCUGGACCAUGUCUAAAGGCUCUUUUAGGUCCAGAGUCCCACGGGCAUAUUUCUGUCUUAAGCGAUGUCCCCCAGUCUGCCCUCUCCUUUCCUGCUGCUACUAUCUGACCCCUCUGAAACCCUCCCACCAUCAUCAGCAGUCUGGAGGCAUAUUGGAUACUCACGGUCGGCCCGGCCAGCCCCAACACUCAGGAGCACUCUACGUGUGGGGCAUGGCCUUCUGAACAGAUCUAUGGAGGGUCUCCUUGUGUUUGAAUAAUGGGCAGACAUGAAUAUAAGCAGCAUUUUGGGGUUGCCGCUCCAAAUGCCUUCCCUACUCAGAUUAACAAGACUUCUUCCCCCUUCCUCUCUUGUAUCUACUCAAAACACUGCCUGCCCUGGAAGCCCUCUCAACGCCCCCCUGAGACGUGCCUGUCUCGUGCAAGAGCUAUGGAUGCCAUUCCAUCACAGACAUGGGGAGGAGGAGAUUACCUGCACAGGUGGCUUCACAGGAGACGCUGGGGGACUGGAAUGCAAAAGUAAGAAGUCAAGAAACACCCAGAGUAACAGGCAAAUUUGGCCUUGGAGUACGGAAUGAAGCAGGGCAAAGGCUAAUAGAGUUCUGCCAAGAGAACACAGUGGUCAUAGCAAACACCCUCUUCUAACCACACAAGAGAAGACUCUACACAUGGACAUCACCAGAUGGUCAAUACCAAAAUCAGAUUGAUUAUAUUCUUUGCAGCCAAAGAUGGAGAAGCUCUAUACAGUCAGCAAAAACAAGACUGGGAGCUGACUGUGGCUCAGAUCAUGAACUCCUUAUUGCCAAAUUCAGACUGAAAUUGAAGAAAGUGGAGAAAAGCACUAGACCAUUCAGGUGUGACCUAAAUCAGAUCCCUUGUGACUAUACAGUGGAAGUGAGAAAUAGAUUUAAGGGACUAUAUCUGAUAGACAGAGUGCCUGAUGAACUAUGGACGGAGGUUCGUGACAUUGUACAGGAGACAGGAAUCAAGACCAUCCCCAAGAAAAAGAAAUGCAGAAAAGCAAAAUGACUGUCUGAGGAGACCUUACAAAUAGCUGUGAAAAGAAGGGAAGCGAAAAGCAAAGGAGAAAGGGAAAGAUAUUCCCAUUUGAAUGUAGAGUAGAGUUCCAAAGAAUAGCAAGGAGAGAUAAGAAAGCCUUCCUCAGCAAUCAGUGCAAAGAAAUAGAGGAAAACAACAGGAUGGGAAAGACUAGAGAUCUAUUCAAGAAAAUUAGAGACAUCAAGGGAACAUUUCUUGCAAAGAUGGGCUCAAUAAAGGACAGAAAUUGUAUGAACCUAACAGAAGCAGAAGAUGUUAAGAAGAGAGGUGGGAAGAAUACACAGAGAACUGUACAAAAAAGAUCUUCAUGGCCCAGGUAAUCACGAUGGUGUGAUCACUCACCUAGAGCCAAACAUCCUGGAAUGUGAAGUCAAGUGGGCCUUAGGAAGCAUCACUACAAACAAAGCUAGUGGAGGUGAUGGAAUUUCAGUUGAGCUAUUUCAAAUCCUAAAAUAUGAUGCUGUGAAAGUGCUGCACUCGAUAUGCCAGCAAAUUUGGCAUAGUUGGGCUGUGCUUUGCUGGAGCAGCCAUGAAGAGAUACCCUAAAUCCAAGGUUCCCUUUGGCCCACCUAUCAGAGGACACGCAUAUAGGUCUUCAGAAAGAGAAAUACUAGCUCCCGGGUUGAACAUGGGCAGCCAGGAGGACUGGGGCAGUGAGCUCCCAGACAGACAUCCAGGCCCAGCAGUUGCAGCCACCCGCUCUGUGUGUGUAGACGUGACAGCCUUCUGGCCCUCACAUUGAGCCUAAGGUCAACAAGGGCAGCCCUGGAGACCUGAUCAUUUCGUCUUAGUCACAAUGCCUACGUUGUUGGUUGAUAAACACUGGUGCUUGAAGACUUGCUUGUAUAACAUGAACCAACCAUCUGGGCUGUUCUUGGGACUGCAGUGCUGAUCGUCAGAACAUCUAACACAAGGAGCCAAAAGGUAAACAUUCCCAUAAAGCAUAUGUGUGUGGAUAUGUAUGUAAAUCUGUGUGUAUAGACUUAUCAGUAUCAAUCACUAACAAACGCAGUUUCUCUGUCUUUGCCAGCAAAUUUCCAAGUGGGAUGUAAUUUAAAACGUGAGUUAAAUAAAUACAGAUACGUAGAUGUCAGUUCGGUGCCUCACUGGCUACAUUUCCAGUUUUCACUGUUCGAUGUCACCCUGCGGUUCAUUCCCAGAACAAAGAAGGAAGUGAACUUGCCCACUUCCAGCCACUAAAUGCUGCUUUGCUUGUUCACCAACAGAAAGGAGUGUGAAGAUAUUGAAGGAAAACGCUUCCCUGGGAAGCAUUCAUAGGAGUCCAUCACUUUCUCCUAGGACACAAUUCUUUUUCCAAUCAGGAAAAGAUUCUCUUGAUAAUCAGCUUACCCAUUUCUUCUCCACUCUUCCCCCCCAACUGUGAUUUGGAGGUUGGAAGGACAACAAAAAUAACUUCACAGAGAAGACUAAGGAUUACUCACUAAUUAUGUUCCCUUCCCACUCAUCCGUCUUGCCAAUCUUGAGUUUUGCCAACUUUUUUUUAAAUGUUAAAAAGCAGAAGGAGGAGAAGGCAGCAGAGAACGGGAACAGAUGAGGCCUUAAAUCAAACGUGUUUUCAUGGUCCCAGCAAGGUGUGUUCUCUCAGCGAAUGGCAACCUGAGGUCUACUUGCUUAAGGCCAGUGUCUAAUAGCAGUAGAUGGAGCAGCCCCUUCAGGAUGGAGGAUGAACCAAACUAACAUUAACUCUUUAACACAAUUAUUGUUCUUCAGGGUAUCCAGUGAAAAACAGAUUUGAACAAACACAAUGUAAAAAACUUCAAUGAAAAGAAAUCUGUGAAACAAAAUUCAUAGGAAUGAGUCACUUGUCAAGAGCAUCUUUGCAAAACACUUGGGACUUCCCUGGUGGUCUGGCGGUUAAAAGUCCUGGCUUCCAAUGCAGAAGAACAUAAUUCCUGGUCAAGGAAUUAAGAUCCCACAUGUGGUGCGGCCAAAAAAAAGAAAAAUAACCACACUCUAAAGUGGAGGUCUUCAAACAUUUUUGCUCACAGCUCACCUUUCUUUCCAAAGAAUUUUGAAAAGCUCUGCACUCCCUCACCUGUUUUAAAGAUAACUUCCACAGUUUUUCCAUGUAAGUAUCCAUGGUUGCCAAGGGUGUAAUUUCCAGCAGAUUGCAAAUGUUAAUGUUUUAAAAGAA